rnacentral:rRNA from 1 species
GACGAACGCUGGCGGCGUGCUUAACACAUGCAAGUCGAACGGAAAGGCCAUGAUUUUGUGGGGUGCUCGAGUGGCGAACGGGUGUGUAAAACGUGAGUAUACUGCACUUGUAUUUGGGAUAACUUUAGGAAACUGGGGCUAAUACCGGGUAGGAGCUCUUGCUGCGUGGUGGGGGUUGGAAAGAUUCGGCGGUUGGGGAUGGACUCGCGGCUUAUGCGCUUGUUGGUGGGGUAGGGGCUUACAAAGGGUUUGACGGGUAGCAGGCCUGGGAGGGUGACCGGCCACAUUGGUACUAAGGUACGGCCCAGACUGCUACGGGAGGCAGCAGGCGAAAAUAUUGCACAAUGGGCGCAAGCCUGAGGCAGCAACGUCGCGAUCGUGAUGACGUCCUUCGGGUUGUAAACCGCUUUCUCCUGUGACGAAGCGUGAUUGACGGUAAUGGGUAAGGAAGCACCGGCUAACUACGUG